CGCGUAGGUGGUAAAGCAAGUAGAAUGUGAAAACCCUGGGCUUAACCUGGGAAGUGCAUCCUAAACUGCUUAACUAGAGUAUGGUAGAGGGUAGUGGAAUUUCCGGUGUAGCGGUGAAAUGCGUAGAGAUCGGAAGGAACGCCAGUGGUGAAGACGACUACCUGGACCAAUACUGACACUGAGGCGCGAAAGCGUGGGGAGCAAACAGGAUUAGAUACCCUGGUAGUCUACGCUGUAAACGAUGAGAACUGGAUGUCAGGCAGCUUGGCUGUUUGGUAUCGAAGCUAACGCGAUAAGUUCUCCGCCUGGGAAGUACGGUCGCAAGAUUAAA
rnacentral:rRNA from 1 species